rnacentral:rRNA from 1 species
GACAGAGGUGGCAAGCGUUGUUCGGAUUUAUUGGGUGUAAAGGGUCCGUAGGCUGUUCGACAAGUCUGGUGUGAAAUCCCAUGGCUCAACCAUGGAACUGCAUUGGAAACUGUCGGACUUGAGUACCGAAGAGGUAAAGGGAAUUCCCGGUGUAAGGGUGAAAUCUGUAGAUAUCGGGAGGAACACCAGUGGCGAAGGCGCUUUACUGGUCGGUAACUGACGCUGAGGGACGAAAGCAAGGGGAGCAAACAGG